rnacentral:rRNA from 1 species
UACGAAGGGUGCAAGCGUUACUCGGAAUUACUGGGCGUAAAGCGUGCGUAGGUGGUUUGUUAAGUCUGAUGUGAAAGCCCUGGGCUCAACCUGGGAAUUGCAUUGGAUACUGGCAGGCUAGAGUGCGGUAGAGGGUAGUGGAAUUCCCGGUGUAGCAGUGAAAUGCGUAGAGAUCGGGAGGAACAUCUGUGGCGAAGGCGACUACCUGGACCAGCACUGACACUGAGGCACGAAAGCGUGGGGAGCAAACAGGAUAGAAACC